AGUGAACGCUGGCGGUAGGCCUAACACAUGCAAGUCGAACGGCAGCACAGUAAGAGUUUGCUCUUACGGGUGGCGAGUGGCGGACGGGUGAGGAAUACAUCGGAAUCUACUUUUUCGUGGGGGAUAACGUAGGGACACUUACGCUAAUACCGCAUACGACCUACGGGUGAAAGCAGGGGAUCUUCGCACCUUGCGCGAUUGAAUGAGCCGAUGUCGGAUUAGCUAGUUGGCGGGGUAAAGGCCCACCAAGGCGACGAUCCGUAGCUGGUCUGAGAGGAUGAUCAGCCACACUGGAACUGAGACACGGUCCAGACUCCUACGGGAGGCAGCAGUGGGGAAUAUUGGACAAUGGGCGAAAGCCUGAUCCAGCCAUACCGCGUGGGUGAAGAAGGCCUUCGGGUUGUAAAGCCCUUUUAUUGGGAAAGAAAAGCAGCAGGUUAAUACCCCGCUGUUCUGACGGUACCCAAAGAAUAAGCACCGGCUAACUUCGUG
rnacentral:rRNA from 1 species